GCUUAACACAUGCAAGUCGAGCGGUAUGUGCUUUAGUGCAUACAGCGGCAGACGGGUGAGUAACACGUAUCUAACCUUCCCCUUACUUGGGCAUAGCCCUCUGGAAACGGAGAUUAAUUUCCGAUGUGGUGUACAUUUCGCAUGUUUUGCGCACCAAAUAUUUAUCGGUAAGGGAUGGGGAUGCCCUCCAUUAGGUUGUAGGUAGGGUAAUGGCCUACCUAGCCUAUGAUGGAUAGGGGUUCUGAGAGGAAGGUCCCCCACAUUGGAACUGCGACACGGUCCAAACUCCUACGGGAGGCAGCAGUGAGGAAUAUUGGUCAAUGGCCGGAAGGCUGAACCAGCCAAGUAGCGUGCAGGAUGACUGCCUUAUGGGUUGUAAACUGCUUUUUUACGGGAAUAAUUAUGAUCACGUGUGAUUAUUUGCAUGUACCGUAAGAAUAAGGAUCGGCUAACUCCGUGCCAGCAGCCGCGGUAAUACGGAGGAUCCUAGUGUUAUCCGGAUUUAUUGGGUUUAAAGGGAGCGUAGGCGGGAGGUCAAGUCAGCUGUGAAAUGUAUCUGCUUAACGGGUACACUGCAGUUGAAACUGGUUUUCUUGAGUGCGUAAGAGGCAGGCGGAAUUCGUUGUGUAGCGGUGAAAUGCUUAGAUAUGACGAGGAACUCCUAUUGCGAAGGCAGCUUGCUGGGUCGUUACUGACGCUGAUGCUCGAAGGUGCGGGGAGCAAACAGGAUUAGAUACCCUGGUAGUCCACGCCGUAAACGAUGAUAACUGGGUUUUUAAUGAAGAUCAUUAAGAGCCUGAGUGAAAGCAUUAAGUUAUCCACCUGGGGAGUACGUUCGCAAGUAUGAAACUCAAAGGAAUUGACGGGGGCCCGCACAAGCGGAGGAACAUGUGGUUUAAUUCGAUGAUACGCGAGGAACCUUACCCGGGCUUAAAUGUAGAUUGCAUAAUUUAGAGAUAAAUUUUUCCCUCAAAAGACUAUCUACAAGGUGCUGCAUGGUUGUCGUCAGCUCGUGCCGUGAGGUGUCGGGUUAAGUCCCAUAACGAGCGCAACCCCUGCUACCAGUUACCAGCAUGUAAUGAUGGGGACUCUGGUAGGACCGCCGCCGUAAGGCGAGAGGAAGGUGGGGAUGACGUCAAAUCAGCACGGCCCUUACGUCCGGGGCGACACACGUGUUACAAUGGCCGGCACAGAGGGCUGCUACACAGCGAUGUGAUGCUAAUCUCAAAAACCGGUCGUAGUUCGGAUUGGAGUCUGAAACUCGACUCCAUGAAGCUGGAUUCGCUAGUAAUCGCAUAUCAGCCAUGAUGCGGUGAAUACGUUCCCGGGCCUUGUACACACCGCCCGUCA
rnacentral:rRNA from 1 species